rnacentral:tRNA from 1 species
GUGCUGUUAGCUCAGCUGGAUAGAGCGUCUGGCUACGGACCAGAAGGUCGAGGGUUCGAAUCCUUUACAGCACGCCA